CCUCGCCCAACUGGACUCGAGGGCCUGAUGCCAUCCUCCCAGUGAUGUUAAACCACCUCAGUAGAGGUAACCUACCUGGCAGGAACGCAUGGGUGGAGGCUGGCCGUGGUCAUGGUGAUGGAGUGGCUAGGAUGCUGGCUGAGAGGAGCUGGCUGCCUGAAUUGGUGCUGCAGACCUCCUUGACCUCCUCCUGAUUGAGUUCUCCUGGAUGUUUCCAGUGCGGAGCACAUGUUGCCCCUGUCAGAGGUGUAACCGUGGCACCCAAGUCCGUAUGACAGACCUUACGAACACCUGAUGACAUCAUCAUCAUCAUGAUCAUAGUCAUCAUCAUCUCCAUCGCCAUCAUCAUCAAACUGUAGCCCUUCCCUGGGUCAGGCACAAGUCCAUCUCAAGUCAUGUCACCUAUGGGUUGGUUGCGCUUCCAGGGUUAUGAAACACUGAUGUUUAUGGGGCUUGUGUUCAGGAUGUGGUUCAGGGAUGUUGAGGGUGGUUCAGUGUCAUUAACAAGGUCCAUAAUGUUUACCAGGGCAGACUUGAGGGCCCUUGAGGGGCCACCCACCACCCC
ensembl:lncRNA